rnacentral:rRNA from 1 species
GAUGAACGCUGGCGGCGUGCUUAACACAUGCAAGUCGAACGGGCCAUAUUCGUAUGGUUAGUGGCAGACGGGUGCGUAACACGUGGGUGACCUGCCUCGGAGUGGGGAACAACUCCGCGAAAGCGGAGCUAAUACCGCAUAGGCUCGAUGAUUCGGUUGAUCGAGUAAAGGCGCAAGUCGCUUCGAGAUGGGCCUGCGGCGGAUUAGCUAGUUGGUGGGGUAAAGGCCUACCAAGGCGAUGAUCCGUAGGGGCGUGAGAGCGUGGCCCCCACAUUGGCACUGAGACACGGGCCAAACUCCUACGGGAGGCAGCAGUGAGGAAUAUUGGGCAAUGGGGGAACCCUGACCCAGCAACGCCGCGUGAGGGAAGAAGGUUUUCGGAUUGGUAAACCUCUGUUCUUGGAGAAGAGAAGAAGACGGUAUCCAAAGGAGGAAGCCCCGGCUAACUACGUGCCAGCAGCCGCGUAAAACGUAGCUG